rnacentral:rRNA from 1 species
GAUGAACGCUGGCGGCGUGCCUAAUACAUGCAAGUCGAGCGAACGGACGAGAAGCUUGCUUCUCUGAUGUUAGCGGCGGACGGGUGAGUAACACGUGGAUAACCUACCUAUAAGACUGGGAUAACUUCGGGAAACCGGAGCUAAUACCGGAUAAUAUUUUGAACCGCAUGGUUCAAAAGUGAAAGACGGUCUUGCUGUCACUUAUAGAUGGAUCCGCGCUGCAUUAGCUAGUUGGUAAGGUAACGGCUUACCAAGGCAACUAUGCAUAGCCGACCUGAGAGGGUGAUCGGCCACCCUGGAACUGAGACAGAGUCGCGACUCCUACGGGAGGCAGCAGUCGGGACUCCUACGCAAUGCGCGAAAGCGUGACGGAGCAAAGCCGCGUGAGUGAUGAACGUCUUCGGAUCGUAAAACUCUGUUAUUAGGGAAGAACAUAUGUGUAAGUACCUGUGCACAUCUUGACGGUACCUAAUCAGAAAGCCACGGCUAACUACGUG